GAUGAACGCUAGCGGCAGGCUUAAUACAUGCAAGUCGAGGGAUAGCAAGAUUGCAGCAAUACAAUUGUUGACGACCGACAAACGGGUGCGGAACACGUACACAACCUUCCUACAAGUGGGGAAUAGCCCAGAGAAAUUUGGAUUAAUACCCCGUAACAUAGCGAUGUGGCAUCACAUUGCUAUUAUAGCUUCGGCGCUUGUUGAUGGGUGUGCGGCUGAUUAGAUAGUUGGCGGGUAACGGCCCACCAAGUCUACGAUCAGUAGCUGAUGUGAGAGCAUGAUCAGCCACACGGGCACUGAGACACGGGCCCGACUCCUACGGGAGGCAGCAGUAAGGAAUAUUGGACAAUGGACGCAAGUCUGAUCCAGCCAUGCCGCGUGAAGGAUUAAAGGUCCUCUGGAUUGUAAACUUCUUUUAUUAAGGGACGAAAAAAGGUACUUUCUAGAUCGUCUGACGGUACCUUAUGAAUAAGCACCGGCUAACC
rnacentral:rRNA from 1 species